rnacentral:rRNA from 1 species
AACGAACGCUGGCGGCAGGCUUAACACAUGCAAGUCGAGCGGGCCCUCCUUUUGGCCAGCCCUGUUGGGGCUGGCUUGGUGGAGGGUCAGCGGCGGACGGGUGAGUAACGCGUGGGAACGUGCCCUUUGCUCUGGAAUAGCCCUGGGAAACUGGGGGUAAUGCCGGAUGUGCCCUUCGGGGGAAAGGUUUACCGGCAAGGGAUCGGCCCGCGUCCGAUUAGGUAGUUGGUGUGGUAACGGCGCACCAAGCCGACGAUCGGUAGCUGGUUUGAGAGGAUGACCAGCCACACUGGGACUGAGACACGGCCCAGACUCCUACGGGAGGCAGCAGUGGGGAAUCUUAGACAAUGGGGGCAACCCUGAUCUAGCCAUGCCGCGUGGAUGACGAAGGCCUUAGGGUCGUAAAGUCCUUUCGCCGGGGAAGAUAAUGACGGUACCCGGUAAAGAAGCCCCGGCUAACUCCGUGCCAGCAGCCGCGGUAAUACGGAGGGGACUAGCGUUGUUCGGAAUGACUGGGCGUAAAGCGCGCGUAGGCGGAUCAUCAAGUCGGGGGUGAAAUCCCGGGGCUCAACCCCGGAACGGCCUUCGAGACUGGUGGUCUCGAGUUCGAGAGAGGUGGGUGGAAUUCCGAGUGUAGACGUGAAAUUCGUAGAUAUUCGGAGGAACACCGGUGGCGAAGGCGGCCCACUGGCUCGACACUGACGCUGAGGCG